rnacentral:rRNA from 1 species
CAGUAGCCGCGGUAAUACAGAGGGUGCAAGCGUUAAUCGGAAUUACUGGGCGUAAAGCGCGCGUAGGUGGUUUGUUAAGUUGAAUGUGAAAUCCCCGGGCUCAACCUGGGAACUGCAUCCAAAACUGGCAAGCUAGAGUAGGGCAGAGGGUGGUGGAAUUUCCUGUGUAGCGGUGAAAUGCGUAGAUAUAGGAAGGAACACCAGUGGCGAAGGCGACUACCUGGACUGAUACUGACACUGAGGUGCGAAAGCGUGGGGAGCAAACAGGAUUAGAUACCCCCGUAGUCCCUGUCUCUUAUAC